rnacentral:rRNA from 1 species
GCAGUAGGGUGCCAUCAAGAGGUGUAUUUGGAAAUAUCCCUAAUACAGGAUCACUUGGAUCCGGUCGGCGAU